rnacentral:tRNA from 1 species
GUUUGUGGCUCAGUGGUAGAGCGCUUGCCUAGCAUGUGUGAGGCACUGGGUUCAAUUCUUAACACAACA